UGAGGCUGGAGAAUCGGGCAGCUGGGUCUUGGGGAGCCCUGGGGUACUAUCUGAGUGGCCGGGACUUGCGGGACCAUUGAAAAGCAGUGCCUGGUGUGCCGAGGUAUUGAUACCCCUCCUCCUGGGAGCACGUGGAGGACCAGGCCAGUUGGCUUUGGCUGCCAGGAGCCCCACCUGCUACCCCGGUGUGCCAUUCCAAUGUUGUCAUCUUCUACACAAGCCAUGGCCUGUGAAAGGCUGGGAGACAUCUUUCUAGGGAUGAAGAAAGAAAGGUCUGUCAAGGUUCAGAAGAUGCUAGUCAUUCUCCUGAUUCACCAGACUGCCUUGAUUUAGUGCUCACUGCGUCCAAGACUGUCCUCUGAGAGGUGCUGGAAUGAAACUGAUUGCCACGCCAUUGUGGAAGCCAAUUCAUGAAGAAAGGAGCCAAGAACGGCUGGCAGGUAUUGUUUAGCCAUGAGGAACUGAAACGUUGCUUGAAGAAACACUUUAGCAUAUUUGCACAUCAAUAGGCACUACAGGAGCUCUACUGCCAUUUUUUGAGAGCUUAGUCUGUACGGGUUCGCAAUCCCCUAUCCACAGGUUGACCCUAUCAUUUACCAUCUAAACUGGGCAGUUGUAACAGUGAAACCUGGGAGAGCUAUUAAAAAUUUCACCAGGACAAGGGUAAACCAGAAUGUCCCAAGCACACUGGAAUGUAUCCAAAACCCUGAGGACAAGUGGGUCUCAGAUUCACUUUUCAAAGAUUUUAUAGAUAAUAUUGUACAUCUCUGUGUCCUGUGUGUGAGUGUGCAUGCUAAGUCGCUUCAGUCAUGUCUGA